rnacentral:rRNA from 1 species
AUUGAACGCUGGCGGCAGGCUUAACACAUGCAAGUCGAGCGGAGAGAGGUAGCUUGCUACCGAUCUUAGCGGCGGACGGGUGAGUAAUGCUUAGGAAUCUGCCUAUUAGUGGGGGACAACAUUUCGAAAGGAAUGCUAAUACCGCAUACGUCCUACGGGAGAAAGCAGGGGAUCUUCGGACCUUGCGCUAAUAGAUGAGCCUAAGUCGGAUUAGCUAGUUGGUGGGGUAAAGGCCUACCAAGGCGACGACCUGUAGCGGGUCUGAGAGGAUGAUCCGCCACACUGGGACUGAGACACGGCCCAGACUCCUACGGGAGGCAGCAGUGGGGAAUAUUGGACAAUGGGCGGAAGCCUGAUCCAGCCAUGCCGCGUGUGUGAAGAAGGCCUUAUGGUUGUAAAGCACUUUAAGCGAGGAGGAGGCUACUUUAGUUAAUACCUAGAGAUAGUGGACGUUACUCGCAGAAUAAGCACCGGCUAACUCUGUGCCAGCAGCCGCAGUAA